rnacentral:tRNA from 1 species
CAGGGAGACAACAAAAUGUUUAAUAUUAAUUUUGUCACCUUAGGUCGAUCGGUAUCUCGCAUUCUUAAUUUAUUUAAGGAUAUUAUUUCCUAAGUUUUUUCUAGGUCACACCCAUUAUUUUCCUGGGCCAUUAGCUCAGGUGGUUAGAGCGCACCCCUGAUAAGGGUGAGGUCCCUGGUUCAAGUCCAGGAUGGCCCAUAUCUCUAUCUUUAUGUUGGGGGUAUAGCUCAGUUGGUAGAGCGCCUGCUUUGCAAGCAGGAUGUCAGCGGUUCGAGUCCGCUUACCUCCACUGAUCACCUCUUCCAUGAUUUGUAGAAGGGAAAUUUUUGAGUUGUGAUCAAAUUCUGAACGAAUCUAGCUUCCUAAUAACUUUAUUAAGAUGCUGGACUCAUUGAAUUAAUUUCAUUGUUUUCAGAGAACCUUGACAACUGCAUAGAUUAUUUUAAAGACAAUAAGCAUCUUUAAUGAUGCAGAUUUAUUAUUUGUGCGAAUGCAUUAAUAACAAUUCUAUUAAGCUGAUGCUUCAAUUUUUGAAGUUAUU